CUUGCCGUUAAAGUAGUGAAAGUUCUACAGGACAUGUUUGAAAUUAUAACCAAUGAUAUGAUGGUUGAUUCUUCAGGUUUGGAAGUAUUUUUGCUUCAUAUGUUCAGAGUGGACUGCAGGAAUUAAUGUAUUAGCAGGGUUUUUGAUGUGUGGAAAAGGAAUGCUGCUUUUUGUUGUCUCACUCACAACUACAAAAGGCGCAUGAGUAAAAAUCUCUUCAUCUACUGGUUUGAGGGUAUCAUUGCAAGCUUUGAAAGGCAGUUCUUUGUGUCAGGUCAAACAUAGUAAAUAGUUAUCCCUUUGUUGAAUGUAUCUGAACUAUUAUUCUUCUGAUGUGAUUCUUUACUGUGUUGAUAAUUUUGUGCACAAGUGACUUCAUACUUUAUAUAGUCAAAUUUGUCUAUAAAAUUAUAAAUCAUUGAGAUUUCUCUCUAA